AUAACCCCGUCCAGUAGAGCCUGACCAGCAACUGGAAGCGAGUUUUGCGUGGUGUCGGGUGACCGGCCCUGCGAAGCCGACCAAGCUCCGCUCGGUGCCCGCAGCGAGUCCGAAAGCCAUGCUAUUGAGCGUCGAAAGACCCAAUCGUGGGAGCCUUUGCCUUUUGAUGACCAAGGGCCACGCUGCCGCAUUUUUUGGUCUGGUGCAAGCAGUCCUGCCGGCGUCGGUUUGGAACA
rnacentral:ncRNA from 1 species